rnacentral:rRNA from 1 species
CCUACGGGAGGCAGCAGUGGGGAAUAUUGGGCAAUGGGCGCAAGCCUGACCCAGCAACGCCGCGUGAAGGAAGAAGGCUUUCGGGUUGUAAACUUCUUUUAAGAGGGAAGAGCAGAAGACGGUACCUCUUGAAUAAGCCACGGCUAACUACGCGCCCGCAGCCGGGGUAAUACGUCGGUGGCAAGCGUUGUCCGGAUUGACUGGGUGUAAAGGGCGUGCAGCCGGGAAGACAAGUCAGAUGUGAAAUCCCACGGCUCAACCGCGGAACUGCAUUUGACACUGUUUUUCUUGAGUACCGGAGAGGUCAUCGGAAUUCCUGGUGUAGCGGUGAAAUGCGUAGAUAUAAGGAAGAACACCAGGGGCGAAGGCGGAUGACUGGACGGCAACUGACGGUGAGGCGCGAAAGCGUGGGGAGCAAACAGGAUUAGAUACCCGGGUAGUC